GUUGAAGUAUCACAGUUGUAAUGGCUGUGUAUACCGUUCACCAUUUCAUUUGUUACUAUACAGACCGAACGACUGCUUUUAUCACUCUAAUCACCUACUGAGUUUUUACACAGCAGUACAAACUCUGUAACUGCAUGAAGCAUACUGGCUCUUGAUAUAUAGGACCAUACCCUCUGUGAAUUAUAUCUUGCGAGUACACUAUGUAGGGGGAUGGGCCAUAUAACU